rnacentral:rRNA from 1 species
GAUGAACGCUGGCUACAGGCUUAACACAUGCAAGUCGAGGGGAAACGGCAUUGAGUGCUUGCACUGAAUGGACGUCGACCGGCGCACGGGUGAGUAACGCGUAUCCAACCUUCCCGUUACUGCGGGAUAACCUGCCGAAAGGCAGACUAAUACCGCAUGUUCUUCGAUGACGGCAUCAGAUUCGAAGCAAAGAUCCGUCGGUAACGGAGGGGGAUGCGUCUGAUUAGCUAGUUGGCGGGGCGACGGCCCACCAAGGCGACGAUCAGUAGGGGUUCUGAGAGGAAGGUCCCCCACAUUGGAACUGAGACACGGUCCAAACUCCUACGGGAGGCAGCAGUGAGGAAUAUUGGUCAAUGGGCGGAAGCCUGAACCAGCCAAGUAGCGUGCAGGAGGACGGCCCUACGGGUUGUAAACUGCUUUUAUGCGGGGAUAAAGUGAGGGACGCGUCCCUUUUUGCAGGUAC